rnacentral:rRNA from 1 species
GGAAAGGUGAAAAGAACCCCGAACAGGGGAGUGAAAUAGAACCUGAAACCAUACGCUUACAACCGGUCGGAGCAGCUUCGUGCUGUGACGGCGUGCCUAUUGAAUAAUGAGCCUACGAGUUACUAAUCACUAGCGAGGUUAAGUGCAAGGAUGCACGGAGCCGAAGCGAAAGCGAGUCUGAACAGGGCGUUUAGUUAGUGGUUGUAGACGCGAAACCUUGCGAUCUACCCUUGAGCAGGUUGAAGGUUGGGUAAAACCAACUGGAGGACCGAACGAAUAAGCGUUGAAAAGCUUCUCGAUGACUUGAGGGUAGGGGUGAAAGGCUAAUCAAGCUGGGAAAUAGCUCGUACUCCCCGAAAUGCCUUUUGGGGCAGCGUUGUAAUAAAGAGUCUACUGGAGGUAGAGCUACUGAUUGGAUGCGGGGGCUUCACCGCCUACCAAAUCCUGACAAACUCCGAAUGCCAGUAGUAUGAUUUACAGCAGUGAGUGACUGGGUGCUAAUGUCCAGUCGCAAAAGAGGAACAACUCAGACCAGCAACUAAGGUCCCGAAGAAUAUGCUAAGUUGAUCUAACGAUGUUUUGUUGCAGAGACAGCUAGGAUGUUAGCUUGGAAGCAGCUAUUCAUUCAAAGAGUGCGUAACAGCUCACUAGUCGAGCGACAGAGCGUGGAUAAUAAACGGGCAUCAAGCAUAUCACCGAAGUUCUGGGCGCGAGAGCGCGGUAGGGGAGCAUUCCAUUCAGCGUCGAAGCAGUUUCGUGAGGAAUUGUGGAGCGUAUGGAAAAGCAAAUGUAGGCAUGAGUAACGAUAAUGCGGGAGAGUAACCCGCACACCGCAAGACCAAGGUUUCCUGAUCAACGCUAAUCGGAUCAGGGUUAGUCGGGUCCUAAGGGUAAGCCGAACGGCGAUCUCGAUGGAUAAUCGGUUAAUAUUCCGAUACUAACAUAUACCUCGAUGGAGAGACGAAGGAACGUAAGUGCCGCCACCUGACGGAAUAGGUGGUUAAAGGGCGUAGGUAUAGGGGCAGAUUAAGAGUUAGUCCUUGCUGAAACCUGACAGUACAGAGAGCCUACGGGCAAUUUGAUAGAGCACCCAAGUCGACUUCCGAGAAAAUCUUCUAAGUUAUAGUAUAUGUUACCCGUACCGUAAACUGACACAGGUGGUCGAGGAGAGUAUCCUAAGGUGCUCGAGUGAAUCACGGUUAAGGAACUAGGCAAAUUAACCCCGUAACUUCGGGAAAAGGGGUCCCUAUGAAAGUAGGGCGCAGCGAAGAGGUCCAGGCGACUGUUUAUCAAAAACACAGGGCUCUGCAAAUUCGAAAGAAGACGUAUAGGGCCUGACACCUGCCCGGUGCUGGAAGGUUAAGAGGGGAUGUCAUCGCAAGAGAAGCAUUGAAUCGAAGCCCCAGUAAACGGCGGCCGUAACUAUAACGGUCCUAAGGUAGCGAAAUUCCUUGUCGGGUAAGUUCCGACCUGCACGAAUGGUGUAACGAUCUGGACACUGUCUCAACCGUGAGCUCGGUGAAAUUGUAGUCCCGGUGAUGAUGCCGGGUACCCGCAACGGGACGAAAAGACCCCGUGAACCUUUACUAUAGCUUAACGCUGAAUUUGGGUACACAAUGUGUAGGAUAGGCCGGAGGCUUUGAAGCGGGCACGCCAGUGUUCGUGGAGCCGACGUUGAAAUACGGCCCUUUGUGUAUUUGAGUUCUAACCCUGCGAAGGGGACACCGUUUGGUGGGUAGUUUGACUGGGGUGGUCGCCUCCAAAAGCGUAACGGAGGCUUCCCAAGGUACCCUCAGCACGAAUGGUAACCGUGCGCGGAGUGCAAUAGCAUAAGGGUGCUUGACUGUGAGACAUACAAGUCGACCAGGUACGAAAGUAGGGUAUAGUGAUCCGGUGGUUCUGCGUGGACUGGCCAUCGCUCAAAGGAUAAAAGGUACUCCGGGGAUAACAGGCUGAUCGCCGCCAAGAGCUCAUAUCGACGCGGCGGUUUGGCACCUCGAUGUCGGCUCGUCACAUCCUGGGGCUGGAGAAGGUCCCAAG